rnacentral:rRNA from 1 species
AUUGAACGCUGGCGGCAGGCUUAACACAUGCAAGUCGAGCGGAGGUGAGGUGCUUGCACCUUAUCUUAGCGGCGGACGGGUGAGUAAUGCUUAGGAAUCUGCCUAUUAGUGGGGGACAACAUUCCGAAAGGAAUGCUAAUACCGCAUACGUCCUACGGGAGAAAGCAGGGGAUCUUCGGACCUUGCGCUAAUAGAUGAGCCUAAGUCGGAUUAGCUAGUUGGUGGGGUAAAGGCCUACCAAGGCGACGAUCUGUAGCGGGUCUGAGAGGAUGAUCCGGCACACUGGGACUGAGACACGGCACAGACUCCUACGGGAGGCAGCAGUGGGGAAUAUUGGACAAUGGGGGGAACCCUGAUCCAGCCAUGCCGCGUGUGUGAAGAAGGCCUUAUGGUUGUAAGGCACUUUAAGCGAGGAGGAGGCUACUGAGACUAAUACUCUUGGAUAGUGGACGUUACUCGCAGAAUAAGCACCGGCUAACUCUGUGCCAGCAGCCGCGGUAA